CCAGACGGUCGGACGGUCGCGGCAUGCUUCGGUGUGUCGAGGAAAGUCCGGGCUCCACGGUGAAGAGGCGGCGGGUAACGCCCGCCCGGGGUGACCCGAGGGACAGUGCCACAGAAAGCAAACCGCCGGCCUUUCGAGGCCGGUAAGGGUGAAAGGGUGGGGUAAGAGCCCACCGCGUCGACGGCAACGGAGACGGCACGGUAAACCCCGCCUGGAGCAAGACCGAAUAGGGAUGUCGUGCAGGUUCGCCUGCGGGGGUCACCGCCCCAGAUGUCCGGGUAGGUUGCUGGAGCCGGUCGGCAACGAUCGGCCAAGAGGAAUGACCGUCCAUGCUCCCUCGGGGGCGGGACAGAACCCGGCUUACAGACCGUCUGGCGCU
rnacentral:RNase_P_RNA from 1 species